rfam:Gossypium raimondii Chr06_contig_231, whole genome shotgun sequence.
UAUUAAAAAAUUCAUCCAUUUGAACUGUUUAAAACUAAUGUGGCUGUUGGAAUAACCAAACAGUGACAUGUGACGUGCCACGUGUACAUCAUGCUAACGUACAAUGACCAGUUUUUAAUAGUAAACUAGAUGAAAUUUUUAACA